rnacentral:rRNA from 1 species
AGAGUUUGAUCCUGGCUCAGGACGAACGCUGGCGGCGUGCUUAACACAUGCAAGUCGAGCGGUAAGGCCCUUCGGGGUACACGAGCGGCGAACGGGUGAGUAACACGUGGGUGAUCUGCCUCGCACUUCGGGAUAAGCCUGGGAAACCGUUGCUAAUACCGGAUGACAUCUACCUGUCGCAUGAUAGGUAGAUCAAAGCUCCGGCGGUCUGGGAUCGGCCCGCGGUGUAUCAGCUUGUUGGUGGGGUAACGGCCUACCAAGGCAGUGACGCAUAGCUGGCGUGAGAGCGCGACCAGCCACACUGGGACUGAGACACGGCCCAGACUCCUACGGGAGGCAGCAGUAGGGAAUCUUGCGCAAUGGGCGAAAGCCUGACGCAGCGACGCCGCGUGAGGGAUGAAUGCUUUCGGGUUGUAAACCUCUUUCAGCGGGGACGAAGCCCUUUGGGUGACGGUACCCGCAGAAGAAGCCCCGGCCAACUACGUGCCAGCAGCCGCGGUAAUACGUAGGGGGCAAGCGUUGUCCGGAUUUAUUGGGCGUAAAGAGCUUGUAGGCGGUCUGUCGCGUCGGAUGUGAAAGCUCAAAGCUCAACUUUGAGAGGCCAUUCGAUACGGGAUAGCUAGAGGUAGGUAGGGGAGAGUGGAAUUCCUGGUGUAGCGGUGAAAUGCGCAGAUAUCAGGAGGAACACCGGUGGCGAAGGCGGCUCUCUGGGCCUUACCUGACGCUGAGGAGCGAAAGCUGGGGGAGCGAACAGGAUUAGAUACCCCCGUAGUCC